rnacentral:rRNA from 1 species
GACGAACGCUGGCGGCGUGCUUAACACAUGCAAGUCGAACGGAAAGGCCCCCAUCUUGGUGGGGGUGCUCGAGUGGCGAACGGGUGAGUAACACGUGGGUGAUCUGCCCUGUACUUCGGGAUAAGCUUGGGAAACUGGGUCUAAUACCGGAUAGGACCAUGGUUUAGUGUCUCAUGGUGGAAAGAUUAUUGUUUUUGUGCAGGAUGAGCUCGCGGCCUAUCAGCUUGUUGGUGGGGUAAUGGCCUACCAAGGCGUCGACGGGUAGCCGGCCUGAGAGGGUGGACGGCCACAUUGGGACUGAGAUACGGCCCAGACUCCUACGGGAGGCAGCAGUGGGGAAUAUUGCACAAUGGGCGCAAGCCUGAUGCAGCGACGCCGCGUGGGGGAUGACGGCCUUCGGGUUGUAAACUCCUUUCGUUAGGGACGAAGCCGCACUUUUUUUGGGUGUGGUGACGGUACCUUUGUUAAGAAGCACCGGCUAACUACGUG